rnacentral:lncRNA from 1 species
AUUCUUGUGUCUUUCAGCCUGUUUCUGCCUAUCACCAUGAGUGAUUCCUCAAUACUCAGAUUUAUCAUCAAGAUCUCAAUUAUAAGCUCAAGUUUUGAUGACAACUUGGUGAUCUGCAGGAAGCACCACCAUGUAAGGAAGGCCAAGACCACUCUGGAAUCAGUCAAGGCUCAUAGGAACUCCAAUCUUCCCAACUGUGAGAGGGCCUUGCUCCAGUGACUGUCAGAUUGCAGUGACCAGACAUGCUACUGUAACUCUCAUGGUCAUGUGCUGGAAUUAGCAGAUAUUCAACAAUUUGGCCAUCUCGCUGACCUGUUGAUAUCAGAAGACCGCAACAGCUCUGCAAAGCAAGUUGGAAAACAGAAUCCAUGAAACUGGCAGUGACUGGAAACCAAUUGGAAGACUUUGGUCUGUGAUGUAGAGGAGUGGGCAGAGGCAGAAGCAAAGACAACAAAAAGAAGAAGUGAUGUGGAUGUCUUCGUCAUAUUGCAUGACUCUGCUGACCCAGCAACAAAGAGGAGGGUGUUCAACAUCAUCCUGCUAGUCAGGAUUCUUCAGGAGAAGCAGUGGAUUCUUGUGGCAGAGAUGGCCAACCACUAUAAAUACCUUUCAACUCAUCCUGGUUCUUUCAAAUAACUUUCCUGCUUGUUUGCUACUGAAAUAUUCGACAUGUGGCCUUAACGAAGAGGGGUUAAAAGGUCUAUGGAUCAUCAUUCUCAAAAAGCAACAAAAUAACUGAGAAAUAAACAACAAUACGAUGGUGCAAUCUAGAGACCUGCAAGGUACCUGCAAGUUUUGGCUGGAGCAGAGAACAUAGAUUUUUUUUAAAUAAAGCUCCAGCUGAUGAGUAUGACAUUGACUGUGGAUUUUCUUUUACUGUAAUCCAGAAGAGGAUGACCUUAACCCUGAAUCUAAAGCAUGUAAUAAAAUCUGUAAAAAAUUAAAUAAAAUUGUCAUCAUCUAUAA